rfam:Olsenella sp. An270 An270_contig_2, whole genome shotgun sequence.
CACAUCGAUAGAGGAGCGGACACGAAGGGUCCCGGGGGAGCCGGCGGGCGCAGAUCCCGGGGCGAGGCGAGGUCCGCCGAACUGCCGAGCCGGGCGCGGCGAGGUGGUGGGCUCGCGGGAAAGACCCGCGGGACUGUCUGCGAGAAGAGCUCGCAGGGGCGCUAUCCUUUGC